rnacentral:rRNA from 1 species
AGAGUUUGAUCCUGGCUCAGAGCGAACGCUGGCGGCGUGCUUAACACAUGCAAGUCGAACGUGAAAGGGAGCAAUCCUAAGUAAAGUGGCGUACGGGUGAGUAACACGUAGAUAAUCUACCCUGGAGUUUGGAAUAACCUGCCGAAAGGCGGGCUAAUACUGGAUAGAGCGAAGGAACUCGUAAGAGAGUUUUUCGGGAA